rnacentral:sRNA from 1 species
AAGGGCGUAUGGGGGAUGCCUAGGCUCUCAGAGGCGAAGAAGGACGUGAUAAGCUGCGAAAAGUUGCGUGUAUUGGCACAUACGAUAUGAUACGCAAAUCUCCGAAUGGGGCAACCCAGUACAUUGAAGAUGUACUACAUCGUAA